rnacentral:rRNA from 1 species
UUCCGUAGGGUGAACCUGCGGAGUGAUCAUUACUGAGUUACCGCUCUAUAACCCUUUGUGAACAUACCUACAACUGUUGCUUCGGCGGGUAGGCCGUCCCCUGAAAAGGACGCCUCCCGGCCCGGACCGGACCCCCCGCGGGACCGGACCCGGCGCCCGCCGGAGGAUAACCAAACUCUAUUGUAACGACGUUUCUUCUGAGUGGCAUAAGCAAAAUAAUCAAAACUUUUAACAACGGAUCUCUUGGUUCUGGCAUCGAUGAAGAACGCAGCGAAAUGCGAUAAGUAAUGUGAAUUGCAGAAUUCAGUGAAUCAUCGAAUCUUUGAACGCACAUUGCGCCCGCCAGCAUUCUGGCGGGCAUGCCUGUUCGAGCGUCAUUUCAACCCUCAAGCUCUGCUUGGUGUUGGGGCUCUACGGUCGACGUAGGCCCUCAAAGGUAGUGGCGGACCCUCCCGGAGCCUCCUUUGCGUAGUAACAUUUCGUCUCGCACUGGGAUCCGGAGGGACUCUUGCCGUAAAACCCCCCAAUUUUCCAAAGGUUGACCUCGGAUCAGGUAG